rnacentral:ncRNA from 1 species
AAUGGUCCAUUUCUAGAGUAUGUGGCACAAAACCUACUUAGGUGGUGUGAUGUCGAGCAUGGUCAGUCAAAUGUAAUAUUGGUAAAAUUCUUAAAUACAUAUGUCUUAUGCAUUUAUAAUCGGCAAUGUCUAUUUAUUUAUUUAUUAUAAUGAAAUUUGAAAGUAUUUAUAAAAAUUUUUAAACGAUGCCAGCUAGCAAUUGGGUGUAGCUACUUUUAUGGCUCCCUCAGUCGCUUCCCGGGAAACCAAAGCUUUUGGGCUCCGGGGGAAGUAUGGUUGCAAAGCUGAAACUUAAAGGAAUUGACGGAAGGGCACCACCAGGAGUGGAGCCUGCGGUUUAAUUUGACUCAACACGGGAAAACUUACCAGGUCCGAACAUAAGUGUGUAAGACAGAUUGAUAGCUCUUUCUCGAAUCUAUGGGUGGUGGUAAAUGGCCGUUCUUAGUUCCUAUAGGAAGUAAAAGUCGUAACAAGGUUUCCGUAGGUGAACCUGCGGAUGGAUCAUUAUUUUAUUUUCCAACCGUUACUAAAAUAAAUAAAUACCAAAUUAAUAUAAAGAUAUAUAAAAUGAAAAUGAAAUUGAAGAUGAGAGCAUAAAAUGAAAAUGAAAUUGAUUAUUAUUAUUAUUAAAUCUG